GAUGAAGAACGUAGCGAAAUGCGAUAAGUAAUGUGAAUUGCAGAAUUCCGUGAAUCAUCGAAUCUUUGAACGCACAUUGCGCCCUCUGGUAUUCCGGGGGGCAUGCCUGUCCGAGCGUCAUUUGCAACCCUCAAGCCCGGCUUGUGUGAUGGGUGCCGUCCCCUACGGGACGCGCCCCGAAGGCAAUGGCGGCGUCGCGGUUAUCCGAUCAGCCAAAGUGUAUGGGGCUUUGUCACUCAUUUUACGGCCCGGACCGGCGCCAGUACGAAUCAAUCUUUUUUCUAAAGUUGACCUCGGAUCAGGCAGGGAUACCCGCUGAACUUAAGCAUAUCAAUAAGCGGAGGA
rnacentral:misc_RNA from 1 species